rnacentral:rRNA from 1 species
UACGUAGGGUGCGAGCGUUGUCCGGAAUUAUUGGGCGUAAAGGGCUCGUAGGCGGUUUGUCGCGUCGGGAGUGAAAACACCGGGCUUAACUCGGUGCUUGCUUUCGAUACGGGCAGACUAGAGGCAUGCAGGGGAGACUGGAAUUCCUGGUGUAGCGGUGGAAUGCGUAGAGAUCCGGAGGAAGACCGGUGGCGAAGGCGGCCUGCUGGGCAGUUACUGACACUGAGGCGCGACAGCGUGGGGAGCAAACAGG